AUGUAUUGCAUUGGUUGCCCUGGGGCCCUGCGUGACGAUGAGAUCGUCUGUAUUUCGGGUCUACAACAGCGUGGAAGACCUCAGGUGAUGCCUAGUUCCUGGGUGGUCGGUGGCUCUAGCUACCCACUAAUGGAGUGGCUUCUCGUCCCAUACCCACACCAAAACUUAACAAGGGAACAACAUUCUUUCAACAAGAAGGUCAUGAAGGUUCAUCGUGUGGUCGUGGAUGCCUUUGCAAGGCUCAGGGGGCGAUGGGCAUUCUUGUAA
rnacentral:rRNA from 1 species